GCGCCUAUAGCUCAGCUGGAUAGAGCAACGGACUUCUAAUCCGUGUGUCGGGGGUUCG
rfam:Caldisalinibacter kiritimatiensis strain L21-TH-D2 NODE_97, whole genome shotgun sequence.